rnacentral:rRNA from 1 species
CGCGGCCUAUCAGCUUGUUGGUGAGGUAAUGGCUCACCUAGGCACCGACGGGUAGCUGGUCUGAGAGGACGAUCAGCCACACUGGAACUGAGACACGGUCCAGACUCCUACGGGAGGCAGCAGCAGGGAAUCUUGCGCAAUGGGCGAAAGCCUGACGCAGCGACGCCGCGUGGGGGAUGAAGGCCUUCGGGUUGUAAACCCCUUUCAGGAGGGAAGAAAAUGACGGUACCUCCAGAAGAAGCCCCGGCCAACUACGUGCCAGCAGCCGCGGUAAUACGUAGGGGGCGAACGUUGUCCGGAUUUAUUGGGCGUAAAGAGCUCGUAGGCGGCUCAGCAAGUCGGCCGUGAAAGCCUGAGGCUCAACCUCAGGAGGCCGGUCGAAACUGCUGUGGCUAGGGUCCGGUAGAGGAGGGUGGAAUUCCCGGUGUAGCGGUGAAAUGCGCAGAUAUCGGGAGGAACACCAGUAGCGAAGGCGGCUCUCUGGGCCGGUACCGACGCUGAGGAGCGAAAGCUAGGGGAGCAAACAGGAUUAGAUACCCUGGUAGUCCACGCCGUAAACGGUGGGUACUAGGUGUGGCGUCUUUAUCAACGGAUGCCGUGCCGAAGCUAACGCAUUAAGUACCCCGCCUGGGGAGUACGG